UACGUAGGGGGCAAGCGUUGUCCGGAUUUAUUGGGCGUAAAGAGCGUGUAGGCGGCCAAGCAGGUCAGCUGUGAAAACUCGAGGCUCAACCUCGAGACGUCGGUUGAAACCGCUUGGCUAGAGUCCGGAAGAGGAGAGUGGAAUUCCCGGUGUAGCGGUGAAAUGCGCAGAUAUCGGGAAGAACACCCGUGGCGAAGGCGGCUCUCUGGCUCGUAACUGACGCUCAUGCACGACAGCGUGGGGAUCAAACAGG
rnacentral:rRNA from 1 species